UGUGUGUGUGUGUGUGUGUGUGUGUGUGUGUGUGUGUGUGUGUGUGUGUGUGACAGAGAAGGAAGCAGCUGAACCCUUGGAACAGGAAGCUGAUGUCCACGUAAAGAUCAGCGACUGUCACAAAGAGCCACAAAUAGCAGAAGUUGAUCUUUGCAUGUGUCCCAGUGUAAGGUUACCGGAACAAAGAUCCAAAGUCUAAGUCCUAAGACAGUGAUCACAUGUGUGAGUACACAACAUCAUCAUCAUCAUCAUCAUCACCAGUCAAAGCGACCUUUGUGCAUUUGAAGAUUUCAUCUUGUCUCAGACUAUCUUUACGGACCACCAGUUCUCCCAAAUGUGUGUGUGUGUGUGUGUGUGUGUGUGUGUGUGUGUAGAACCUGCCUCGACCCGGCGGCGAGCCUCGACCACGGCGACGGUGUUGUGGCCCCUGUGCUCCUCGACCACGCAGUCCUGACACACGCAGCAGGCGUCGGCAUAGCAGAAGAGUUCCAGGGGCCACUUGUGGACCUCGCAGGUCCUCCUCUCGAUGUCCCGGAGCGGAUCUACCAGCCGGUGGUUCUGGAACUUUGGGUUCUCCAGGUGAGGCCGGAGGUGGGCCUCGCAGUAGGACACCAGACAGGUGAGGCAGGACUUGAUGGCCCUGCAGGGGCUCUCGAUGCAGGAAUCACACACCAUGUCAUCUGGACCCAAAGGUUCUUCUGUCACUUGGUCUUCUUCCACGCCUUCAGAAGUGCUUUCUUCUGCCACCACGGCUUUCUGCUGCCGGCCAGAAUCAGUGUGUGUCUGCUCACACUCGGCGGCCGGGUCGGCACCGUUCUGCUGGGGGGAGACAGCUUCGGGGUCUGUCAUGUUCUUCUUUUGCUCGCUCCGUGUGCGGAGAACUGGCCCAGCCACUCUGGAGUUCCUGGAGGAGCCUGCAAAGCCACACCUAGAUGAUGUGAGUCAGACUGGGGCCCAGUUUCAGCCCGCCCCCUCCCUCACGAGCCACAAGGGUGGAGCUCAUCCUGCAAAACGAGCUGAGAGGAGACCGGGCGCAUUCCUCCACGUGUGAUCCGUGUAGCCCCGCCCCUGCACACGGAUGCAGCGUGCUCAGUGGAGACUUCUGCUUCCUGUUGACACGUCGCCAUGGUUACUCUAACGUCAGCACAUCUGCAGAAGGAAAUUGUGGAGAGGCGGAGCCGACGGUCCGAUGGAGCGGCAGGGCACGCUUGAGCCCUGUCCAAGAUGGCGGCAAGGAGGCGGCGAAUGCGGCCGAGCGGAGAGGCGGGGCGUGCCGGGAGCGACGCCGCAAACAUGUGCAGGUGUGUGGAUCGCGCACCAGUAGACAAUUAACUUAUAUCCUCACAAUGUAUAAAAGGGGAGAAGGAGGAGGAGAGCCCACAACAGCCACCAAGGAGCGGAAGCAACGAGCAGAAGAGGACGACGAGGACGGCAGCUGAAAAGCGGCCCGUGAGCGAGCAGUGGAGAAGAGCAGCUGAAAAGCGAUCCGACCUGAAGACAAAGCUUUAUUUGAAGGAAAUAAAGAAGUCAACCCUCCUCAAA